rnacentral:rRNA from 1 species
UACAGAGGUGGCAAGCGUUGUUCGGAAUUACUGGGCGUAAAGGGCGCGUAGGCGGUCUUUUAAGUUCCGUGUGAAAUCCCUCGGCUCAACUGGGGAACUGCACAGGAAACUGGAAGGCUUGAGUUCGGGAGAGGGAAGCGGAAUUCCGGGUGUAGCGGUGAAAUGCGUAGAUAUCCGGAGGAACACCGGUGGCGAAGGCGGCUUCCUGGACCGACACUGACGCUGAGGCGCGAAAGCUAGGGGAGCAAACGGG